GAUGAACGCUGGCGGCAUGCCUUACACAUGCAAGUCGAACGGCAGCACGGGUACUUUCCCCUUGUGGCGAUUGGCGAACGGGUGAGUAUUACAUCGGAACAUGUCCUCUAUUGGGGUAUAGCCCGUCGAAAGCCGCGUUGCUACCGCAUACUAUCUACUUAUGAAAGCUGGUGAACUUCUGGCCUCGCGCCUUGCUGUUGGCCGAUGACUGAUUAGCUAGUUGGUAGGGUAAUGGCCUACCAAGGCAACGAUGAGUAGCCGGUCUGAGAGGACGAUCAGCCACACUGGGACUGAGACACGGCCCAGACUCCUACGGGAGGCAGCAGUGGGGAAUUUUGGACAAUGGGCGAAAGCCUGACGCAGCAAUGCCGCGUGUGUGAAGAAGGUCUUCGGGUUGUAAAGCACUUUUAUCCGGAAAGAAAUCAUUGGCACUAAUCCGGUCGGGGGAUGACGGUACCGGAAGAAUAAGCACCGGCUAACUACGUG
rnacentral:rRNA from 1 species